rnacentral:rRNA from 1 species
CUGAAUAACUUUGCUGAUCACACGGUCCUAGCACCGGUGACAUAUCUUUCAAGUGUCUGCCCUAUCAACUUUCGAUGGUAGUUUAUGUGCCUACCAUGGUGUUAACGGGUAACGGAGAAUAAGGGUUCGACUCCGGAGAGGGAGCCUGAGAAAUGGCUACCACAUCCAAGGAAGGCAGCAGGCGCGCAAAUUACCCACUCUCAGCACGAGGAGGUAGUGACGAAAAAUAACGAGACGGUUCUCUAUGAGGCCCGUCAUCGGAAUGGGUACAAUUUAAACCCUUUAACGAGGAUCUAUUGGAGGGCAAGUCUGGUGCCAGCAGCCGCGGUAAUUCCAGCUCCAAUAGCAUAUACCAAUUCUGUUGCUGUUAAAAA